rnacentral:rRNA from 1 species
GACGAACGCUGGCGGCGUGCUUAACACAUGCAAGUCGAACGGAAAGGCCCUGCUUGCAGGGUACUCGAGUGGCGAACGGGUGAGUAACACGUGGGUGAACUGCCCUGCACUUCGGGAUAAGCCUGGGAAACUGGGUCUAAUACCGGAUAGGAGCCAUUUUUAUUGUGAUGGUUGGAAAGUUUUUUCGGUGUAGGAUGAGCUCGCGGCCUAUCAGCUUGUUGGUGGGGUAAUGACCUACCAAGGCGGCGACGGGUAGCCGGCCUGCGGGGGUGGACGGCGACAUUGGGACUGGGAUACGGCCCAGACUCGAAGGGGAGGCAGAAGGGGGGAAUAUUGAGAAGUGGGGGGAGGCGUGAGGCGGGGAGGCGGGGGGGGGAUGACGGCCUUCGGGUUGUAAAAUCCUUUCGCUAGGGACGAAGCUUUGUGUGACGGUACCUAGAGAAGAAGCAACGGCUAACUACGUG